rnacentral:lncRNA from 1 species
AAUUGGUAUACCUAUCGGGUACCCGAACCACUCGAGCCAAAGAAAAUCCUUUGAUCAAAAUUCUCCAAACCCUACAAAAUAUCAUGCUUCUUCUACCAAGUUUAAGCUCUCAAAACCUUAGGGGACCAACACCACAACUCCAACAAAAUCCCAUCCUGAAACCUAAGAAACCCUCCAAUCUCUCUCAUGUACUCUCCUUUCCCAC